rnacentral:rRNA from 1 species
CCUACGGGAGGCAGCAGUGGGGAAUUUUGGACAAUGGGCGAAAGCCUGAUCCAGCCAUUCCGCGUGCAGGAUGAAGGCCCUCGGGUUGUAAACUGCUUUUGUACAGAACGAAAAGGUUUUCUAUUAAUACUAGGAGCUCAUGACGGUACUGUAAGAAUAAGCACCGGCUAACUACGUGCCAGCAGCCGCGGUAAUACGUAGGGUGCAAGCGUUAAUCGGAAUUACUGGGCGUAAAGCGUGCGCAGGCGGUUAUAUAAGUCAGAUGUGAAAUCCCCGGGCUCAACCUGGGAACUGCAUUUGAGGCUGUAUAGCUAGAGUACGGUAGAGGGGGAUGGAAUUCCGCGUGUAGCAGUGAAAUGCGUAGAUAUGCGGAGGAACACCGAUGGCGAAGGCAAUCCCCUGGACCUGUACUGACGCUCAUGCACGAAAGCGUGGGGAGCAAACAGGAUUAGAUACCCUGGUAGUCCACGCCCUAAACGAUGUCAACUGGUUGUUGGGUCUUAACUGACUCAGUAACGAAGCUAACGCGUGAAGUUGACCGCCUGGGGAAGUCGGCCGCAAGGUUGAAACUUGAAGAUUGNGNGNGNGNGNGCGAGCGACGACGAGGGAGAGG